rnacentral:rRNA from 1 species
ACAGCAGCCGCCACGGGAAUACGUAGGUGGCAAGCGUUGUCCGGAAUUAUUGGGCGUAAAGGGCUCGCAGGCGGUUUCUUAAGUCUGAUGUGAAAGCCCCCGGCUCAACCGGGGAGGGUCAUUGGAAACUGGGAAACUUGAGUGCAGGAGAGGAGAGUGGAAUUCCACGUGUAGCGGUGAAAUGCGUAGAGAUGUGGAGGAACGCCAGUGGCGAAGGCGACUCUCUGGUCUGUAACUGACGCUGAGGAGCGAAAGCGUGGGGAGCGAACAGGAUUAGAUACCCCGGUAGUCCCUGUCUCUUAUAC